AUGACUGUCCCGCCGGACCUACUUUUUGGUGUCACCAGAUUGCCCCCUCCCCUCCCUCGGUUUCCACAACAGGAGUCCCCCAAUUCCCCCCCCCCCCCCCUUUCUCCAAAGCAGUUGUAGCCGUUAUUGUGGCGGGACGUGUGCGUGUGUGCGCCGGCGCAUUGUUUGGCAGGCAGGCCGCGCUGAGCAACCAUAAUGAACUCACAACACUUUACCAUCAGCGCAAACGCAACGUGGCACGGGACCGCCCGCCCCGCCCAAGAAAACGUCAGCCGCCAAAGCCAGCCGUUGUCUUUCUUUCUCUCUCUUUUGCAGUGACUUUGUGAGGUCGCCGCUCGCCAACGUGGACUUUCGCUCCCUUUGAAGUACAACUCUUCACAGUCAAGUGACGCCUCCAACGGGACUCCCCCGGGAGAAGAAACGCGCUGUCUGCUUUUCCCUUUUUUGCAGAUGAGCACUCCACCUCAUGAAAGGGGCCACCUUGUUAUCACAAAGCCACUCGCAUUCACGUCUGUCCCGCCAGCUCACAGGUAGCUUUGCUGCUUUGGACUGGCCGAGCUGUCAGAGAUAGCGUUGUUAUGCCGCAACCUUUACUGGGAGGGCGGGGGGGGGUGACAUUGGCUCAUUGCCAAGGUGGGGAUGAGUUGCAACCCCCAGCCGCCCCACCUCCCACACACGCAGUUUGUCUCUCUGCCUCCUCCUUCUCCUAGCCCCCCCCCCCCUCCUCUUCCCCAGCAAUUAUUCCCCAGCCUGCAUGAAGUGUGCAAACAGGUGCACUCCAACAAGAGCGCAAACAGGCCGAGCGGCUCUUCCUGUUCCUCCUGGGGGGGGAGCCACGCGCGGAGGCGGACAACCCGGCCUCUCGACCCGCUGAACUUCCUGGCCUACCCGCCCGCUCUUCAUGAUCAUCCACACACAUUGGCGGCGACCGACCCGCUCGACGACGACACGCGACUCGGACCAGAAUGAAGAGCUGCGUCUUCUGCUAAUUCUCCGGGCCCAAGUGAUCCACUUUGAUUGGAGCAGAUCAUCGUC